AUGGACUGGGCGACGCGCGUCGGCGUGGCGCUGGGCGCGGCGAGGGGCCUCGAGUACCUCCACGAGGCGGCGGCGCCGCGCAUCCUCCACCGGGACAUCAAGUCCACCAACAUCCUGCUCGACGACCGGUUCAGGGCCAGGAUCACGGACCUGGGCAUGGCCAAG
rnacentral:rRNA from 1 species